rnacentral:rRNA from 1 species
UAUUGGGCGUAAAGGGUGCGUAGGCGGCCUGUUAAGUAAGUGGUUAAAUUGUUGGGCUCAACCCAAUCCAGCCACUUAAACUGGCAGGCUAGAGUAUUGGAGAGGCAAGUGGAAUUCCAUGUGUAGCGGUAAAAUGCGUAGAUAUAUGGAGGAACACCAGUGGCGAAGGCGGCUUGCUAGCCAAAGACUGACGCUCAUGCACGAAAGCGUGGGGAGCAAAUAGGAUUAGAUACCCUAGUAGUCCACGCCGUAAACGAUGAAUACUAAGUAUUGGGGAAACUCAGUGCUGCAGCUAACGCAAUAAGUAUUCCGCCUGUGGAGUAUGCACGCAAGUGUGAAACAUAAAGGAAUUGACGGGGGCCCGCACAAGCGGUGGAGUAUGUGGUUUAAUUCGACGCAACGCGAAGAACCUUACCAGGCCUUGACAUCCCUUGCAAAGCUGUAGAGAUACAGUAGAGGUUAUCAAGGAGACAGGUGGUGCAUGGUUGUCGUCAGCUCGUGUCGUGA